rnacentral:rRNA from 1 species
UACAGAGACUGCAAGCGUUAUUCGGAUUCACUGGGCGUAAAGGGUGCGCAGGCGGCCAAGUGUGUGAGGCGUGAAAGCCUGGGGCUUAACCCCAGAAUUGCACCUCAAACUACUUGGCUAGAGCAUUGGAGAGGGUAGCAGAAUUCAUGGUGUAGCAGUGAAAUGCGUAGAUAUCAUGAGGAAUACCAGAGGCGAAGGCGGCUACCUGGACAAUUGCUGACGCUCAGGCACGAAAGCGUGGGGGAGCAAAAGGG